UAGAGUUUGAUCCUGGCUCAGAUUGAACGCUGGCGGCAGGCCUAACACAUGCAAGUCGAGCGGUAGCACAGAGAGCUUGCUCUCGGGUGACGAGCGGCGGACGGGUGAGUAAUGUCUGGGAAACUGCCUGAUGGAGGGGGAUAACUACUGGAAACGGUAGCUAAUACCGCAUAACGUCGCAAGACCAAAGUGGGGGACCUUCGGGCCUCAUGCCAUCAGAUGUGCCCAGAUGGGAUUAGCUAGUAGGUGGGGUAACGGCUCACCUAGGCGACGAUCCCUAGCUGGUCUGAGAGGAUGACCAGCCACACUGGAACUGAGACACGGUCCAGACUCCUACGGGAGGCAGCAGUGGGGAAUAUUGCACAAUGGGCGCAAGCCUGAUGCAGCCAUGCCGCGUGUGUGAAGAAGGCCUUCGGGUUGUAAAGCACUUUCAGCGGGGAGGAAGGCGAUAAGGUUAAUAACCUUGUCGAUUGACGUUACCCGCAGAAGAAGCACCGGCUAACUCCGUGCCAGCAGCCGCGGUAAUACGGAGGGUGCAAGCGUUAAUCGGAAUUACUGGGCGUAAAGCGCACGCAGGCGGUCUGUCAAGUCGGAUGUGAAAUCCCCGGGCUCAACCUGGGAACUGCAUUCGAAACUGGCAGGCUAGAGUCUUGUAGAGGGGGGUAGAAUUCCAGGUGUAGCGGUGAAAUGCGUAGAGAUCUGGAGGAAUACCGGUGGCGAAGGCGGCCCCCUGGACAAAGACUGACGCUCAGGUGCGAAAGCGUGGGGAGCAAACAGGAUUAGAUACCCUGGUAGUCCACGCCGUAAACGAUGUCGAUUUGGAGGUUGUGCCCUUGAGGCGUGGCUUCCGGAGCUAACGCGUUAAAUCGACCGCCUGGGGAGUACGGCCGCAAGGUUAAAACUCAAAUGAAUUGACGGGGGCCCGCACAAGCGGUGGAGCAUGUGGUUUAAUUCGAUGCAACGCGAAGAACCUUACCUGGUCUUGACAUCCACAGAACUUAGCAGAGAUGCUUUGGUGCCUUCGGGAACUGUGAGACAGGUGCUGCAUGGCUGUCGUCAGCUCGUGUUGUGAAAUGUUGGGUUAAGUCCCGCAACGAGCGCAACCCUUAUCCUUUGUUGCCAGCGGUUAGGCCGGGAACUCAAAGGAGACUGCCAGUGAUAAACUGGAGGAAGGUGGGGAUGACGUCAAGUCAUCAUGGCCCUUACGACCAGGGCUACACACGUGCUACAAUGGCAUAUACAAAGAGAAGCGACCUCGCGAGAGCAAGCGGACCUCAUAAAGUAUGUCGUAGUCCGGAUUGGAGUCUGCAACUCGACUCCAUGAAGUCGGAAUUGCUAGUAAUCGUAGAUCAGAAUGCUACGGUGAAUACGUUCCCGGGCCUUGUACACACCGCCCGUCACACCAUGGGAGUGGGUUGCAAAAGAAGUAGGUAGCUUAACCUUCGGGAGGGCGCUUACCACUUUGUGAUUCAUGACUGGGGUGAAGUCGUAACAAGGUAGCCGUA
rnacentral:rRNA from 1 species